rnacentral:rRNA from 1 species
GGAUGAACGCUGGCGGCGUGCCUAAUACAUGCAAGUCGAGCGAACAGACGAGGAGCUUGCUCCUCUGACGUUAGCGGCGGACGGGUGAGUAACACGUGGAUAACCUACCUAUAAGACUGGGAUAACUUCGGGAAACCGGAGCUAAUACCGGAUAAUAUAUUGAACCGCAUGGUUCAAUAGUGAAAGACGGUUUUGCUGUCACUUAUAGAUGGAUCCGCGCCGCAUUAGCUAGUUGGUAAGGUAACGGCUUACCAAGGCAACGAUGCGUAGCCGACCUGAGAGGGUGAUCGGCCACACUGGAACUGAGACACGGUCCAGACUCCUACGGGAGGCAGCAGUAGGGAAUCUUCCGCAAUGGGCGAAAGCUUGACGGAGCAACGCCGCGUGAGUGAUGAAGGUCUUCGGAUCGUAAAACUCUGUUAUUAGGGAAGAACAAAUGUGUAAGUAACUAUGCACGUCUUGACGGUACCUAAUCAGAAAGCCACGGCUAACUACGUG